rnacentral:tRNA from 1 species
GUAGACAUAGUUUAACUAAAACACCAGAUUGUGAUUCUGGGAACAGAGGUUAAAAUCCUCUUGUCCACC